AACGAACGCUGGCGGCAUGCUUAACACAUGCAAGUCGAACGCGAGGGUUUCGGCCCUCGAGUGGCGCACGGGUGAGUAGCGCGUGGGAACCUGCCCUCUUGUGGGGAUAACCGAGGGAACCUCGGCUAAUACCGCAUAAGCCGGAGAGAUCCGGGAAAGAUUAUCGCGAGAGGAGGGCCCGCGUCGGAUUAGCUUGUUGGUGGGGUAACGGCCCACCAAGGCGAUGAUCCGUAGCUGGCUGAGAGGAUGAUCAGCCACAUUGGGACUGAGACACGGCCCAGACUCCGUACGGGAGGCAGCAGUGAGGAAUAUUGGUCAAUGGACGCAAGUCU
rnacentral:rRNA from 1 species